CGUCGUGCACCGUGCCGGGCGCGCCCGGCGCCAAAAGUACGUCGCGCACGAGGCCCAUGACCAGCGCCUCGCGCAUGUUGGCGUAGACCGUUGCGCGCGGCAGUUCUAUGGCCUUGGUGCACACCUCGUCAAAUGUGGCGUAGCGCCACGCGCGCUGCCCGCCCCAAUCGUCGCGCGGGCAUGCAGCCCACGCCGCGCCGACAAAGUAGCCGUGCAUGCGGUGCAGGCCCUUGUACAUGGCCACGCGCUCGUCGGUCUCGCCCUCCUCGUGUUUCAACGUCUUGUCGAGCACGUCGUCCAUCUCGUGACGUUUCCCGUGGUGCCGCGCCGGUGCCAUCGUCGACGACAUUGGCCAACACGCGAUCCAGUCGCCGCCACAGAUCGUCUCUCCUCCGGUCCGGCGCGCCUCUGGUAAGCGGUAGUUAAGGGGUGGUGGGUCUCGGUAAAAAAAUGGUACAGAAAGUCGGGCGCUUACCCACCGUUGCCCAUUUCCGCCGCGCAGGACCAGCGCGCAAUUGCCAGGGCUAAGCGACGCACACGCGUUUGUUUCCAUCGGCGUCGUGAGCCGCCCAGCCGGCGUGCGCCACGGGGGUAAAACUCGCGCCAUCGCGGUUCCUCCAGGAGCGCCUGUGUGUGUGUGUGUGUGUGUGUUCGUGUGUGUUCUCUAAAGUGGCCUUGCGCGUGCACACAUGCCCCGCCUCUCCUCCUCUCCCGACAAGGCAACGAGAAAACUCCCCAUAGAAUGCCCCAAAAAGUCGUCCCAGUCCGCUUGUGGCCAUU
rnacentral:lncRNA from 1 species